AAGCGGGGAUAACUAUAUAAGACGAGAAGACCCCAUGGAGCUUUAAACCCAGCAACACCUAUCUUUAUACACCCUUAUAUUCACGUAACUCUACUUGCUCGGUUUUAGGUUGGGGUGACCGCGGAGCACAACAAAACCUCCACGAAAAAAGGACCAACAAUCCUUAUCCAAGAUGCACAUAUCUAAGAAUUAAUAUAUUAACUUUUAAUGAUCCGUUAUUCGAUCAACGAACCAAGUUACCCUGGGGAUAACAGCGCAAUCUACCUCGAGAGCUCCUAUCGACAGGUAGGUUUACGACCUCGAUGUUGGAUCAGGGUAUCCCAGUGGUGCAGCAGCUACUAAAGGUUCGUUUGUUCAACGAUUAAAACCCU
rnacentral:rRNA from 1 species